UCCGGUUUGUCACCGGCAGUCUCGUUAAAGUGCCCAACUCAAUGAUGGCAACUAACGACAAGGGUUGCGCUCGUUGCGGGACUUAACCCAACAUCUCACGACACGAGCUGACGACAGCCAUGCAGCACCUGUGUCCAGGCUCCCUUUCGGGCACCCUUACCUCUCAGCAAGGUUCCUGGCAUGUCAAGGGUAGGUAAGGUUUUUCGCGUUGCAUCGAAUUAAUCCACAUCAUCCACCGCUUGUGCGGGUCCCCGUCAAUUCCUUUGAGUUUUAGCCUUGCGGCCGUACUCCCCAGGCGGGGCACUUAAUGCGUUAGCUACGGCACGGAACCCGUCGAUAGAGUCCCACACCUAGUGCCCAACGUUUACGGCGUGGACUAC
rnacentral:misc_RNA from 1 species